rnacentral:rRNA from 1 species
CAAUAGCGUAUAUUAAAGUUGUUGCGGUUAAAAAGCUCGUAGUUGGAUUUCUGUUGGGAACGACCGGUCCGCCCAUUGGGUGUGUAUCUGGCUUGUUCUCGGCAUCUUCUUGGUGAACGUUGCUGCACUUGACUGUGUGGAGCGCUACCCAGGACUUUUACUUUGAGGAAAUUAGAGUGUUUCAAGCAGGCAUAUGCCUUGAAUACAUUAGCAUGGAAUAAUAAGAUAGGACCUCGGUUCUAUUUUGUUGGUUUCUAGAGCUGAGGUAAUGAUUAAUAGGGAUAGUUGGGGGCAUUCGUAUUUAACUGUCAGAGGUGAAAUUCUUGGAUUUGUUAAAGACGGACUACUGCGACAGCAUUUGCCAAGGAUGUUUUCAUUGA